AGCGUAGGCGGACAUUUAAGUCAGGGGUGAAAUCCCGGGGCUCAACCUCGGAAUUGCCUUUGAUACUGGGUGUCUUGAGUAUGAGAGAGGUGUGUGGAACUCCGAGUGUAGAGGUGAAAUUCGUAGAUAUUCGGAAAGAACACCAGUGGCGAAGGCGACACACUGGCUCAUUACUGACGCUGAGGCUCGAAAGCGUGGGAGCAAACA
rnacentral:rRNA from 1 species